rnacentral:rRNA from 1 species
UACGUAGGUGGCAAGCGUUUACUCGGAAUCACUAGGCGUAAAGCGCAGGUAGGAGGUUUGGAAAGUCUGUUGUGAAAGCUCCCGGCUUAACUGGGAGAGGUCAACGGAAACUACCAGGCUAGAGUGUGGUAGAGGAAGAUGGAAUUCCCGGUGUAGCGGUGAAAUGCGUAGAUAUCGGGAGGAAUACCUAUGGCGAAAGCAGUCUCUGGACCAUCACUGACUCUGAUCUGCGAAAGCUAGGGGAGCAAACGG